rnacentral:rRNA from 1 species
AUUGAACGCUGGCGGCAGGCCUAACACAUGCAAGUCGAACGAGUUGCGGACGGGUGAGUCAUGUCUGGGAAACUGCCCGAUGGAGGGGGAUAACUACUGGAAACGGUAGCUAAUACCGCAUACCAUCGGAUGUGCCCAGAUGGGAUUAGCUAGUAGGUGGGGUAACGGCUUACCUAGGCGACGAUCCCUCGCUGGUCUGAGAGGAGGACCAGCCACACUGGAACUGAGACACGGUCCAGACUCCUACGGGAGGCAGCAGUGGGGAAUAUUGCACAAUGGGCGCAAGCCUGAUGCAGCCAUGCCGCGUGUAUGAAGAAGGCCUUAGGGUUGUAAAGUACUUUCAGCGAGGAGGCGUUACUCGCAGAAGAAGCACCGGCUAACUCCGUGCCAGCAGCCGCGGUAAUAC